UACGGAGGGUGCAAGCGUUAUCCGGAAUCAUUGGGUUUAAAGGGUCCGCAGGCGGGCUAAUAAGUCAGUGGUGAAAUCCCUCAGCUUAACUGAGGAACUGCCAUUGAUACUGCUAGUCUUGAAUUCGGUCGAAGUGGGCGGAAUGUGUCAUGUAGCGGUGAAAUGCAUAGAUAUGACACAGAACACCGAUAGCGAAGGCAGCUCACUGGGCCUGAAUUGACGCUCAGGGACGAAAGCGUGGGGAGCAAACAGGAUUAGAUACCCUGGUAGUCCACGCCGUAAACGAUGAUUACUCGAUAUUGGCGAUAUACGGUCAGUGUCUAAGCGAAAGUGAUAAGUAAUCCACCUGGGGAGUACGAUCGCAAGGUUGAA
rnacentral:rRNA from 1 species